UCAACAGAGGGACAAACCAAUCUUAUCUACAAACUUCUUCGACGUUUUAUUAAUUAAAAUCGAAAAAUGUGUGUCAAAGAAAUUUCAUAUCUUCUUCUGUUUGGUUUUUUUUUUGAGAAUAAAUUAAUCUGAAAGAAAAACUUGUUUAUUUUUUUUUCUAAAUCAAAUUUAUAGUCAAUAAAAUAAAAUGCCCAAAAUGUAAACAGACCAUCAAAAAAGGCAGAAAAGAACUUACCAUAUCUUUAAUGCGCGCGCUCCAUUCUUUAAGAUUCUUCUGUGAAUCAAAAACAUUUCCAGAAAUGAACCUGCACAUCGCUUUCAAACCCAACAUCGGAUCGUUGUCGUAGAGGCUUGACGUUGAUGACGACGCGACGCAGCCAAAAAGAAGGAGAAGAGACAGACAAGACACCCACGUUUUUGUGUGGCUGUUUUUUAGUGCUUAUUUUCGAAAUUCACCGUUGUUUUGUGAAUUAAUUGCAUGCAUAUGGCUAAAUCAGUUUUUUGUGCCUGCCUUUCCAUAUCUACCUACCUAAAUAUUUUUUUUUAUUAAUAUUCAUUCUUGUUUAUGAUUAUGCCUACGUCGCUCGUCGUCGUCACCAUUGCCGCCGCCGCGCGCCGUUACCACAAAAUCUAACAUUUGACAGCAGCAGUGCCGCGGUGACAGAAAAUGUAUUUACAAUGAAAAAAGGCAAUAUUUUUAUGCUAUAAGAGAAAUCUGGCAACGAUGCUUCUUGCUUCUUUCUAUUUGAAAUGGAUUAUUUUGUGUGAUUGAGUGGGAAAAUGAGUGAGUUUUGUUUGUGUAUUUUUAUAGACUUAUUCCAAAAUAUGACUGGAAAUGAAUUCUAGUAAAACCACAAGAAAAA